rnacentral:rRNA from 1 species
CCUACGGGAGGCAGCAGUGGGGAAUUUUGGACAAUGGGCGCAAGCCUGAUCCAGCUAUUCCGCGUGUGGGAUGAAGGCCCUCGGGUUGUAAACCACUUUUGUAGAGAACGAAAAGACACCUUUUAAAAAAGGGUGUUGCUGACGGUACUCUAAGAAUAAGCACCGGCUAACUACGUGCCAGCAGCCGCGGUAAUACGUAGGGUGCGAGCGUUAAUCGGAAUUACUGGGCGUAAAGGGUGCGCAGGCGGUUGAGUAAGACAGAUGUGAAAUCCCCGAGCUUAACUCGGGAAUGGCAUAUGUGACUGCUCGACUAGAGUGUGUCAGAGGGAGGUGGAAUUCCACGUGUAGCAGUGAAAUGCGUAGAUAUGUGGAAGAACACCGAUGGCGAAGGCAGCCUCCUGGGACAUAACUGACGCUCAGGCACGAAAGCGUGGGGAGC